rnacentral:rRNA from 1 species
GAUGAACGCUGGCGGCGUGCCUAAUACAUGCAAGUCGAGCGAACGGACGAGAAGCUUGCUUCUCUGAUGUUAGCGGCGGACGGGUGAGUAACACGUGGAUAACCUACCUAUAAGACUGGGAUAACUUCGGGAAACCGGAGCUAAUACCGGAUGAUAUUUUGAACCGCAUGGUUCAAAAGUGAAAGACGGUCUUGCUGUCACUUAUAGAUGGAUCCGCGCUGCAUUAGCUAGUUGGUAAGGUAACGGCUUACCAAGGCAACGAUGCAUAGCCGACCUGAGAGGGUGAUCGGCCACACUGGAACUGAGACACGGUCCAGACUCCUACGGGAGGCAGCAGUAGGGAAUCUUCCGCAAUGGGCGAAAGCCUGACGGAGCAACGCCGCGUGGGUGAUGAAGGUCUUCGGAUCGUAAAACUCUGUUAUUAGGGAAGAACAUAUGUGUAAGUAACUGUGCACAUCUUGACGGUACCUAAUCAGAAAGCCACGGCUAACUACGUGCCAGCAGCCGCGGUAAUACGUAGGUGGCAAGCGUUAUCCGGAAUUAUUGGGCGUAAAGCGCGCGUAGGCGGUUUUUUAAGUCUGAUGUGAAAGCCCACGGCUCAACCGUGGAGGGUCAUUGGAAACUGGAAAACUUGAGUGCAGAAGAGGAAAGUGGAAUUCCAUGUGUAGCGGUGAAAUGCGCAGAGAUAUGGAGGAACACCAGUGGCGAAGGCGACUUUCUGGUCUGUAACUGACGCUGAUGUGCGAAAGCGUGGGGAUCAAACAGGAUUAGAUACCCUGGUAGUCCACGCCGUAAACGAUGAGUGCUAAGUGUUAGGGGGUUUCCGCCCCUUAGUGCUGCAGCUAACGCAUUAAGCACUCCGCCUGGGGAGUACGACCGCAAGGUUGAAACUCAAAGGAAUUGACGGGGACCCGCACAAGCGGUGGAGCAUGUGGUUUAAUUCGAAGCAACGCGAAGAACCUUACCAAAUCUUGACAUCCUUUGACAACUCUAGAGAUAGAGCCUUCCCCUUCGGGGGACAAAGUGACAGGUGGUGCAUGGUUGUCGUCAGCUCGUGUCGUGAGAUGUUGGGUUAAGUCCCGCAACGAGCGCAACCCUUAAGCUUAGUUGCCAUCAUUAAGUUGGGCACUCUAAGUUGACUGCCGGUGACAAACCGGAGGAAGGUGGGGAUGACGUCAAAUCAUCAUGCCCCUUAUGAUUUGGGCUACACACGUGCUACAAUGGACAAUACAAAGGGCAGCGAAACCGCGAGGUCAAGCAAAUCCCAUAAAGUUGUUCUCAGUUCGGAUUGUAGUCUGCAACUCGACUACAUGAAGCUGGAAUCGCUAGUAAUCGUAGAUCAGCAUGCUACGGUGAAUACGUUCCCGGGUCU